rnacentral:rRNA from 1 species
GUGCCAGCAGCCGCGGUAACACGGGGGGAGCGAGCGUUGUUCGGAAUCAUUGGGCGUAAAGAGCUCGUAGGCGGCUCCGUCAGUCGGGGGUGAAAGGCCAUGGCUCAACCAUGGAUACGCCUCUGAAACUACGGAACUUGAGAUCGGGAGAGGAAAGUGGAAUUCCUGGAGUAGCGGUGAAAUGCGUAGAUAUCAGGAGGAACACCAGUGGCGAAGGCGGCUUUCUGGCCCGAUUCUGACGCUGAGGAGCGAAAGCCAGGGGAGCGAACGGGAUUAGAAACCCGCGUAGUCC